rnacentral:tRNA from 1 species
GCGCCCGUAGCUCAGCUGGAUAGAGCACUGGAUUUCUAAUCCAGAUGUCGCAGGUUCGAGUCCUGCCGGGCGCACCA